rnacentral:rRNA from 1 species
UACGAAGGGGGCUAGCGUUGUUCGGAAUUACUGGGCGUAAAGCGCACGUAGGCGGGUUUGUAAGUUGGGGGUGAAAUCCCGGGGACCAACCCCGGAACUGCCUUCAAGACUGCAGACCUGGAGGUCAGGAGAGGCGAGCGGAAAACCGAGUGUAGAGGUGAAAUUCGUAGAUAUUCGGUGGAACACCAGUGGCGAACGCGGCUCGCUGGACUGAUUCUGAAGCUGAGGUGCGAAAGCGUGGGGAGCAAACAGG